GUGGAUUAGAUACCCUAGUAGUCCACGCCGUAAACGUUGGGCACUAGGUGUGGGACUCUAUCGACGGGUUCCGUGCCGUAGCUAACGCAUUAAGUGCCCCGCCUGGGGAGUACGGCCGCAAGGCUAAAACUCAAAGGAAUUGACGGGGGCCCGCACAAGCGGCGGAGCAUGUGGCUUAAUUCGAUGCGACGCGAAGAACCUUACCUGGGUUUGACAUGUAGGGAAAAGCCGUAGAGAUACGGUGUCCUUCGGGGCCUUACACAGGUGGUGCACGGUUGUCGCCAACU
rnacentral:rRNA from 1 species